AUGAUUGGUACAUAAUAAGUUCGGGUUACUGGUUCCUAAAAAUGAUAGCGUUGCCAGUCGCAGGGAAAACAAAGUCAGGGAAGGCGCUUUAGGGUUUCCAAUUCCUAUUUUUCACCUGCAAAUCGUGACGAAGAAGAAUAAAGAUGUGGCACGAAGCAAGGAGAUCGGAGAAGAAAGUGCAUGAUAUGAUGGACGCAGCGCGUAAGAGAGCUCAGAGACGUGCCAUCUUUCUCGCUAAACGCCGCGGAGACCCUCAGCAGCCCAUUCAAGCCAUCGGCUCUCGCUGUCGUAUUUACCGUGAUGACGCCCUUUAUCAAGCUAUCGAGGAUCAGCAGGGCCUGUAUGAUUUCUUUGUCCCUCUAAUUUAUCUAUAUGUUAAGGUGUUGAUUUAGCUUAUUAGUGGAUAGUGAAAUUUGGUUGUAAAAUACGAAUGGUUCAGAAUGGAAAGUCUCUUACAAUGGAAAGCAAGGAGGCACCUGCAAAUCGUGACGAAGAAGAAUAAAGAUGUGGCACGAAGCAAGGAGAUCGGAGAAGAAAGUGCAUGAUAUGAUGGACGCAGCGCGUAAGAGAGCUCA
rnacentral:lncRNA from 1 species